GAUGAACGCUGGCGGCGUGCUUAACACAUGCAAGUCGAACGGUGAACCCGGAGCUUGCUCUGUGGGAUCAGUGGCGAACGGGUGAGUAACACGUGAGCAACCUGCCCCUGACUCUGGGAUAAGCGCUGGAAACGGCGUCUAAUACUGGAUAUGUGACGUGACCGCAUGGUCUGCGUUUGGAAAGAUUUUUCGGUUGGGGAUGGGCUCGCGGCCUAUCAGCUUGUUGGUGAGGUAAUGGCUCACCAAGGCGUCGACGGGUAGCCGGCCUGAGAGGGUGACCGGCCACACUGGGACUGAGAUACGGCCCAGACUCCUACGGGAGGCAGCAGUGGGGAAUAUUGCACAAUGGGCGGAAGCCUGAUGCAGCAACGCCGCGCGAGGGAUGACGGCCUUCGGGUUGUAAACCUCUUUUGGCGGGGAAGAAGCGAAAGUGACGGUACCUGCAGAAAAAGCGCCGGCUAACUACGUG
rnacentral:rRNA from 1 species